UACGGGGGGGGCAAGCGUUGUUCGGAAUUACUGGGCGUAAAGGGCUCGUAGGCGGUCAACUAAGUCGGACGUGAAAUCCCUCGGCUUAACCGGGGAACUGCGUCUGAUACUGGAUGGCUUGAGUUUGGGAGAGGGAUGCGGAAUUCCAGGUGUAGCGGUGAAAUGCGUAGAUAUCUGGAGGAACACCGGUGGCGAAGGCGGCAUCCUGGACCAACACUGACGCUGAGGAGCGAAAGCCAGGGGAGCAAACGGG
rnacentral:rRNA from 1 species